UUGACCUCGGAUCAGGUAGGGAUACCCGCUGAACUUAAGCAUAUCAAAAGGCCGGAG
rnacentral:rRNA from 1 species